GUCCAGCCACAUGUUCAGAAACGUGGUUUGUUCCUUUAUGGUGACAGGCCCCUUCCCACGGUACUUCUGAAUGUACCCCGACCAACCGCCGAUAGCGCGAGUCUCCACUUUGGCACUAGGAGCGGUAUCAAAGAAGUGGGUGCUAUCGGCAGAAGAGACGUCUAGACCAGUGAGCAUAGCUACAUCGGCAAGAGUGGGAGAAACAGGGCCGUGGCCAAAGACGAAGGCAUUAAGGGUAUCUGACCAAAAAUAAGACGCAGCUAUCAACAGCGACUCGUUCUUGUGCAUAUCGGCAAUAGAUAGCCUGAUGCAUUGGGCUAGCUUCCUUUCACCCCACUGGACUUCAUUCGAAUUGCUGACUCUCAAGAACCAGUCUUUCCACCCUACAGUAGGGCUGGGCCAAGAGCGAAAGGUGUCUUUCCACAGAUCUAAAGAAAAAUUUUCGGCUCUAAAGGGAAUCCUAUUGGUUUCUGCAUUGAUAAGGUCAGUUGGAUCUGGAUCCCCUAGAGGGCCGAGACAUUGGAGGUGUGGUUGAUCGGUGGGGAUGACAAUUUUGUUGGACAACUCCUAGUGUUUUGGGGAAUAAAAAAAAUACAAAGAAAAAGGAAAAGGGAGAUAUUCAGUAAGAUGAAUCGCGGAUGAACAGGAAUACGAGAAGAAUACAAGAGAUGAGAUGGAGAUCUGACCUCAGGGACGACGAAGCCAAUGGCCAUCUUGUCGUGAAGAGAACGUUUGAGGGCACCGGAGUUGAUGAAGAGGAGUGCUUGUCGGAGGUCUUGAAGGUUGUGAAUGGCGCCGCCGCUGGAAAAGUAAAAGUAGGGAUGGUGAAAUGAUGUGAUGGAGAAGGAGUACCCGAGAAGGAACUAUUUAUAGGAUAAAACGGGCA
rnacentral:lncRNA from 1 species